rnacentral:rRNA from 1 species
GCCCUUAGAGUUUGAUCCUGGCUCAGGACGAACGCUGGCGGCGUGCUUAACACAUGCAAGUCGAACGGUCUAUAAGGGCUUGCCCUUAUAGGUAGUGGCGAACGGGUGCGUAACACGUGAGUAACCUGCCCCAUAGUUUGGAAUAACACCGGGAAACCGAUGCUAAUACCAAAUAUGCUCGCACUAGCACAAGCUAGAGCAAGGAAAAGAUUUAUCGCUUUGGGGAGGGGGCUCGCGGCCUUAUCAGCUUGUUGGUGAAGGUAAACGGCUCACCAAGGCUUUCGACGGGUAGCUGGUCUGAGAAGGGACGAAUCAGCCACACUGGGACUGAGACACGGCCCAGACUCCUUACGGGAGGCAGCAGUGGGGAAUAUUGCGCAAUGGGCGAAAGCCUGACGCAGCAACGCCGCGUGAGAGGAUGAAGGCUCUAGGGUCGUAAACUCCUUUCAGCAGGAAAGAAAAUGACGGUACCUGCAGAAGAAGCUCCGGCCAACUACGUGCCAGCAGCCGCGGUAAUACGUAGGGAGCAAGCGUUGUCCGGAUUUAAUUGGGCGUAAAGAGCUCGUAGGCCGGCUUAGAUAGUCGGAUGUUAAACCCCUAGGCUUAACCCUAGGGCAGCCAUUCGAUACUACUAUGGCUAGAGUUCGGUAGGGGAUUGUGGGAAUUCCCGGUGUAGCGGUGAAAUGCGCAGAUAUCGGGAGGAACACCAAUGGCGAAGGCAGCAAUCUGGGCCGAUACUGACGCUGAGGAGCGAAAGCGUGGGGGAGCAAACAGGAUUAGAUACCCUGGUAGUCCACGCCCUAAACGUUGGGCACUAGGUGUGGGACCUACUUCGACGGGUUCCGUGCCGUAGCUAACGCAUUAAGUGCCCCGCCUGGGGAGUACGGCCGCAAGGCUAAAACUCAAAUGAAUUGACGGGGAAGGGC